GGUCGGAACGGCCACUCAGGAAGCGGGCACCCUCCCCUAUGGAGCUCCAGAGAAGGGAUUCGCUCACUCCACCGCGGGAGGAGGAAAGGGAGCUACCUAGCAGCAAGGGUUGUGUAGAGGACCUGUGGACUUGACAGCCUCUUAAACAAACUAACACGGAAGGAGUACCAUAGAGACCAUAACAAACAAGGGGGGGGGAAAGCAACCCUCAGAGGAAAAAGAAA
rnacentral:lncRNA from 10 species